rnacentral:rRNA from 1 species
GUGCCAGCAGCCGCGGUAACACGGGGGGAGCAAGCGUUGUUCGGAAUCACUGGGCGUAAAGGGCGUGUAGGCGGUUUGGUAAGUGAGAUGUGAAAUGCUUCGGCUCACCCGAAGACCUGCAUCUCAAACUGCCGGACUAGAGUAUGGGAGAGGACAAGGGAAUUCCUGGUGUAGCGGUGAAAUGCGUAGAUAUCAGGAGGAACACCGGUGGCGAAAGCGCUUGUCUGGCCCAAUACUGACGCUGAGGCGCGAAAGCUAGGGGAGCAAACGGGAUUAGAUACCCCUGUAGUCC